rnacentral:tRNA from 1 species
GCGGCCGUGAUCUAGUGGUCAGGAUUGGGGCUUCCCAAGCCUCCUGCGCGGGUUCGAAUCCCGCCGGCCGCA